rnacentral:rRNA from 1 species
UUGGAGGGCAAGUCUGGUGCCAGCAGCCGCGGUAAUUCCAGCUCCAAUAGCGUAUAUUAAAGUUGUUGCAGUUAAAAAGCUCGUAGUUGAAUUUCGGGAUCAAUGGAUCGGUCAUGCCGUUGGUAUGUACUGGUUUUAUUGAUUCUCACCUUCUAAAGAACCAUGAUGGCAUUAAUUUGUUGUUGUGGGGAAUUAGGACUGUUACCUUGAAAAAAUUAGAGUGUUUAAAGCAGGCCUACGCUUGAAUACAUUAGCAUGGAAUAACGAAAUAGGACAUCGCAUUCUAUUUUGUUGGUUUCUAGGAUCGAUGUAAUGAUUAAUAGGGAUAGUUGGGGGCAUUAGUAUUCAAUUGUCAGAGGUGAAAUUCUUGGAUUUAUUGAAGACUAACUACUGCGAAAGCAUUUGCCAAGGAUGUUUUCAUUAAUCAAGAACGAAAGUUAGGGGAUCGAAGACGAUCAGAUACCGUCGUAGUCUUAACCAUAAACUGUGCCGACUAGGGAUCGGAUGAUGUUAAUUUUUUAAUGACUCAUUCGGCACCUUACGGGAAAC